GCCUCUUUAGCUCAGUGGUAGAGCGUUGGUCUCGUACGAAGACUCAAGAUAACCAAAGGCCGGGAGUUCAAUCCUCCCAGGAGGCA
rnacentral:tRNA from 1 species